AUAGUUUCAAAUAUAUUACAAAGCAGAAACUAACAAAAGGAAGAAUAAGAAGACAAAACUACCUUUCUGGUGUAAGUAGUUUACCUUCUUCUGUAAUUAAGCAGACAACAUUUGUAAGGAGAGAUAAGAUAUAUUCAUAAAAUAUAUGCUGAAUUUGUAUAUAACAAUACAAUUUGAGAAUAUAUUUUGUUUUAUGUAACAUUUUUGAAAACUGACCAUUACAUAGACCAUAAGAUUUUUUUUCAACUGAGCAGUGCCCAGAGACAUCAUUUGAAACAGAAAAUACUCUUCUGAAUAACUAAUGGGUCAAAGGAAAAAAAAAAAAGUUUAAAAAAAAAACAGAUUUAAACAAAAAAGAAAAUGUUACACACCAAAGGUUGUGAAUCUCUAUAUUAAAGAAGACCGAAAAUUGAUGAGCUGAACUCAGGUUAGAAAGCAAGCUGAUCAAAGAACUCAGUGACCCCACUAGAGACUCUCAAUCACCAACCACAGACUCUGUCACUUGACUCCUAACUCCCAAUAACUCACCUCAGAGAACCCCAUCACUGACAGGAGAGACCUUCGCCACUGACAACCAUAACGGAUGCCCCGCCCCCAUCACUGAACCCCCAAACCAUCACUAGCUCCACCCCACCGCUCACACUGCUGACUACACAGAAUCCUCAAUCGCGACCAACCAAAAUCAUCUCAAAGACUUCUAGCCAUCUCCUAAUAGUAGCCCCGAAAUAACCUUCGAGGACCACUUCCACUUCCGGUUUGACUUCUAAAACCUCCCCUUGGGGGAAUGUUGGUACUGCGCAUGCUCCGAACUCUGGGCUGCCAACAGUAAACGCCGCGCAGACAUUCCUUUAUAGAGACUUUAUGCGGUUUCCAUAGGAGGUGUGGUCCGGCGGAGAACAUGGCCGCGCCCAGGGUUACUUCUUUGUGUGGGCCGCCCUCUGUUCGUAGAGCAUAGGAGUUGGCCCGCACCCAAGUGUCACGGUGUGAGCCUGGGACUGUCACAUAAAACGUGGGACUGUCGCCUUUGUCUGAAUAGGCCUCCGGGAGGAGGAAGUUACCGGAUAUGGGUUCUGGAACUUUACAUUAUACUUAGAAAAGCUAGUUGCCACGAGGGCUACAGCGAGCAGGGAAUCCAGCGAGGACAAACCACUAGGAGGGAUUCCUGGGAGAAACCACAGGGAAAUAAGGGAGAAAACAGACGGAACAGUCGGCUUUAUGAAGAAACAAAUGGAGAGGCGAGAAUGGGAAUCCGCCCCUGGGUAAAACCCCCAGCAACACGGAGACAGAAAUUGGGAAUAUGCCAAACCCCUACUAGUUCUUAUCGAUGGCCCAUAAAGGAUGACUUGGAAGCCAAGGAUUGUCUACAUUCAUUACAAUGUUCAGAUAUUCCUACUCCUCUUGAGAGAAGUCUACAGCCAUAUUCCUGAAUGUCACCACUCCCUGAAAGAACAAAGCCAUAUACUACUUAUGAAGAGCAUCAUAUAUAUCUAUUUUACUAAACCCCAAAUCUGAUGAGGGGUGACACAACAGUUCCUUAAAGAAAGCACUCCUGGGGCUGGGGUUGUGGUUCAAGUGGUAGAGCACUUGCCUAGCACGUGAGAGGCACUGGGUUCAAUCCUCAGCACCACAUAAAAAUAAAAUAAA
rnacentral:lncRNA from 1 species